UACGGGGGGGGCAGGCGUUGUUCGGAAUUACUGGGCGUAAAGGGCUCGUAGGUGGCCAACUAAGUCAGACGUGAAAUCCCUCGGCUUAACCGGGGAACUGCAUCUGAUACUGGAUGGCUUGAGUUUGGGAGAGGGACGCGGAAUUCCAGGUGUAGCGGUGAAAUGCGUAGAUAUCUGGAGGAACACCGGUGGCGAAGGCGGCGUCCUGGACCAACACUGACACUGAGGAGCGAAAGCCAGGGGAGCAAACGGG
rnacentral:rRNA from 1 species